GAUGAACGCUAGCUACAGGCUUAACACAUGCAAGUCGAGGGACCGGCGCACGGGUGAGUAACACGUAUCCAACCUGCCCUUUACUCGGGGAUAGCCUUUCGAAAGAAAGAUUAAUACCCGAUAUCAAGGAUGGGGAUGCGUUCCAUUAGGUUGUUGGUGGGGUAACGGCCAACCAAGCAUUCGAUGGAUAGGGUAUCUGAGAGGAAGGUCCCCCACAUUGGAACGGAGACACGGUCCAAAAUCGUACGGGAGGCAGCAGUGAGGAAUAUUGGUCAAUGGGCGCUAGCCUGAACCAGCCAAGUAGCGUGAAGGAUGAAGGCUUAUGGGUCGUAAACUUCUUUUAUAUAAGAAUAGGUAUUAUAUGAAUAAGGAUCAGCUAACUCCGUGCCAGCAGCCGCGGUAAUUC
rnacentral:rRNA from 1 species